CCUGCAAUCAGAGUCAAGGGCGAAGUCCGGCUCCCGUAGGAGUUCGGAUGAAGUUUACCAUCAGUCGAGGUCGGGGUUGAAGUCCGGCUCCCGUAGGAGUCCGGGUGGAGUCUUCCCGUAGCCAGAGUCGGAGGCGAGGUUUGGCUCCCGUAGGAGUCCGGGCUGAAAUCUGGUAGUUGUAGGAAUCUACCGUUGGAGAAGUUCAGCCGUUGACGAAGUCCGGGGUAGUUUGGAUUGGAGUUGAACCUGGCUGGAAGAAGUCUGGAAGGGAUUCGGGGAGUAGCUGACAGUCGUAGAAAGUCGGCUGGCGGCAGAGCUUAGUGAGCGCUUAGGGCGGUUUAAUAGAUGACUGGGGGAACUCAUGUUGAAGGAGCUCGGGUGGUGUAGUGAAAGUUCGUCUGUCGGGGG
rnacentral:lncRNA from 1 species